GAUGAACGCUAGCUACAGGCCUAACACAUGCAAGUCGAGGGGUAGCACGGAGGAAGCUUGCUUCCUUGGGUGACGACCGGCGCACGGGUGAGUAACGCGUAUCCGACCUACCCAUAACUCGGGCACAGCCGCUCGAAAGAGUGAUUGAUUCCCGAUAUGUCAUCAGAGUAGAUUUAAUGAUGAAAGAUUCCUAGGUUAUGGAUGGGGAUGCGUAAGAUUCGGUAGUAGGCGGGGUAACGGCCCACCUAGCAGACGAUCUUUAGGGGUUCUGAGAGGAAGGUCCCCCACACUGGUACUGAGACACGGACCAGACUCCUACGGGAGGCAGCAGUGAGGAAUAUUGGUCAAUGGGCGGAAGCCUGAACCAGCCAAGUAGCGUGAAGGAUUACAGCCCUACGGGUUUUAAACUUCUUUUAUAUAAGAGUAAUGUGCACUACGUGUAGUGUAUUGCAAGUAUUAUAUGAAUAAGCAUCGGCUAACUCCGUGCCAGCAGCAGCCGCAGUAA
rnacentral:rRNA from 1 species